rnacentral:rRNA from 1 species
UACGUAGGGGGGCAAGCGUUGUCCGGAAUUAUUGGGCGUGAAGAGCGCGUAGGCGGUCCGAUAAGUCGGCUGUGAAAGUCAGGGGCUCAACCCUUGAAAGCCGGCCGAUACUGUCGGACUAGAGUCCGGAAGAGGCAAGUGGAAUUCCUGGUGUAGCGGUGAAAUGCGCAGAUAUCAGGAAGAACACCCGUGGCGAAAGCGGCUCUCUGGAACGGUACUGACGCUGAGACGCGAAAGCGUGGGGAGCGAACAGG